rnacentral:rRNA from 1 species
UACGUAGGGUGCGAGCGUUGUCCGGAAUUAUUGGGCGUAAAGAGCUCGUAGGCGGCACCGCAAGUGUGGGGUGAAAUCCCACGGCUUACCCGUGGAACUGCCUGGCAGACUGCGGUGCUAGAGGAUGGUAGGGGAGAGCGGAACUCUUGGUGGAGCGGUGAAAUGCGUAGAUAUCAAGAGGAACACCGGUGGCGAAGGCGGCUCUCUGGUCCAAACCUGACGCUGAGGAGCGAAAGCUAGGGGAGCAAACGGG